rnacentral:lncRNA from 1 species
GAUACUGCUACACAUAUAUACAAGCCCAAAGGAUACGAAGGUGUCCGUUCGGGAAGAACAUGCCUCUUUCCAAAUGGCCCCUUCGGUGACUUGUCAUUAGCAGUUGCUAAUGACGUUAUUAACUAAUAAUUAAGUAAUUAGAGUAAUUGGUCACUAACAACUGUGUUUCAAAACAAUAUUUUGGCGAAGCUAACAAAUUAGCGGAAGGGCCUAUUUGUUGAGUUCGCCAUACUUCUUACUCCAUCAUGAUAUCUAAUUUGUUUGAUGGUUACAGCCUCUCAAAAUAAGGUGUGACUUCUUGAGCUUCUUAUGUGGUACUCUUUUUUUUUGUACUUCAAAGUUCAAGGAGAUUAGUUAACUUCCCCAAUAAUCUUCAGUAGCAUUACGUACCUUGGGCUUAAGUGACAUUAGAAUGUAAACUAAAGGUCCCCAUCCAAAUCUAUUUCCUCCCACCUUCCUAUGUUCGUAGCAGAGGGAAUGGGAUGAAAAGUUCAAAUAAUAGCCCACAAUUGUUUUUUUACUUGGUCAAUCGCAUGUCACUUUUAGGAUAUAUACACCUUUUCAACAACUCCGAUCCCCUU